GAUCAUGGCUCAGGAUGAACGCUAGCGGCAGGCUUAACACAUGCAAGUCGAGGGGCAGCGGGAUGUAGCAAUACAUUGCCGGCGACCGGCGGAUGGGUGCGUAACGCGUAUGCAACCUACCUUAUACAGGGGAAUAACCUUUCGAAAGGGAGACUAACACCCCAUAGUAUUGAUUUAAGGCAUCUUAGAUUAAUUAAAUAUUUAUAGGUAUAAGAUGGGCAUGCGUAUGAUUAGCUAGUUGGUAAGGUAACGGCUUACCAAGGCGACGAUCAUUAGGGGUUCUGAGAGGAAGGUCCCCCACACUGGUACUGAGACACGGACCAGACUCCUACGGGAGGCAGCAGUGAGGAAUAUUGGUCAAUGGGCGCAAGCCUGAACCAGCCAUGCCGCGUGCAGGGAAAGACGGCCUUAUGGGUUGUAAACUGCUUUUACAUAAGACUAACCGUAUAUUUGCGAAUAUACCUGAAUGUAUUAUGAGAAUAAGGAUCGGCUAACUCCGUGCCAGCAGCGGC
rnacentral:rRNA from 1 species